CCUGGCUCAGGACGAACGCUGGCGGCACGCUUAACACAUGCCAGUCGAACGAGAGAAGAGAAGCUUGCUUUUCUGAUCUAGUGGCGGACGGGUGAGUAACACGUGAGCAAUCUGCCUUUCAGAGGGGGAUACCGAUUGGAAACGAUCGUUAAUACCGCAUAACAUAAUUGAACCGCAUGAUUUGAUUAUCAAAGAUUUAUCGCUGAAAGAUGAGCUCGCGUCUGAUUAGCUAGUUGGUAAGGUAACGGCUUACCAAGGCGACGAUCAGUAGCCGGACUGAGAGGUUGAUCGGCCACAUUGGGACUGAGACACGGCCCAGACUCCUACGGGAGGCAGCAGUGGGGAAUAUUGCACAAUGGAGGAAACUCUGAUGCAGCGAUGCCGCGUGAGGGAAGAAGGUUUUAGGAUUGUAAACCUCUGUCUUCAGGGACGAAAAAUGACGGUACCUGAGGAGGAAGCUCCGGCUAACUACGUGCCAGCAGCCGCGGUAAUACGUAGGGAGCGAGCGUUGUCCGGAAUUACUGGGUGUAAAGGGAGCGUAGGCGGGAUCGCAAGUCAGAUGUGAAAACUAUGGGCUUAACCCAUAAACUGCAUUUGAAACUGUGGUUCUUGAGUGAAGUAGAGGUAAGCGGAAUUCCUAGUGUAGCGGUGAAAUGCGUAGAUAUUAGGAGGAACAUCAGUGGCGAAGGCGGCUUACUGGGCUUUAACUGACGCUGAGGCUCGAAAGCGUGGGGAGCAAACAGGAUUAGAUACCCUGGUAGUCCACGCCGUAAACGAUGAUUACUAGGUGUGGGGGGACUGACCCCUUCCGUGCCGCAGCAAACGCAAUAAGUAAUCCACCUGGGGAGUACGACCGCAAGGUUGAAACUCAAAGGAAUUGACGGGGGCCCGCACAAGCAGUGGAGUAUGUGGAUUAAUUCGAAGCAACGCGAAGAACCUUACCAGGUCUUGACAUCGUAUGCAUAGCUCAGAGAUGAGUGAAAUCUCUUCGGAGACAUAUAGACAGGUGGUGCAUGGUUGUCGUCAGCUCGUGUCGUGAGAUGUUGGGUUAAGUCCCGCAACGAGCGCAACCCUUACUGUUAGUUGCUACGCAAGAGCACUCUAGCAGGACUGCCGUUGACAAAACGGAGGAAGGUGGGGAUGACGUCAAAUCAUCAUGCCCCUUAUGACCUGGGCCUCACACGUACUACAAUGGCUGUUAACAGAGGGAUGCAAAGCCGCGAGGUGGAGCGAACCCCUAAAAGCAGUCUUAGUUCGGAUUGUAGGCUGCAACCCGCCUACAUGAAGUCGGAAUUGCUAGUAAUCGCAGAUCAGCAUGCUGCGGUGAAUACGUUCCCGGGCCUUGUACACACCGCCCG
rnacentral:rRNA from 1 species